CCUUUUGCUGCCUGAUUGUUAUACUGAUUUUAGCAUUACUUGCAUACGGUAUUGCUAAAAUUGUUAUGGGAUCUGUAUAUCUACAUGACUGUAGUAUUGAAAGGUUUAUACCAGUCUACCUGAUAGUUAGUGGUGUGGCACCGAUACUGUUUGGCGGUUUUGGUCGCAGGAAUAACGACGAGCCCAAUUUAAGUGGGAGUCUCUGUGGAGUCCUUGGCUUUUUGUUUAAUGUAGCUUGGCUUAUUUGUGGUAGUGUCUGGGUAUAUCCCAUUUACGGAAAGCUAAGUGCUGUUGAUUUUACGAUCUGCAGAGGAAACGAGACUACUGAGUGUUAAGGUGAGAUUUGCGACAAGGAUUUGAUGAAAUUUGCCAUUUCUGCUGUCACCAUCGAUUGGGUUUUUAUGGGCUUCUGGAUUAUCGUGAUAGGUUAUCAACUUAGAAAACUCAUGAACCAACUAUUACGUAAAUUAUUUUAGAAACAUCAAAGAUGAUGAUGAGAUCUUAUGACAACAGCUGAAAACCGGUGAAGUCGAUGAUAAUGUAUAAACUCAUACAUACACAGAAUUCUUGUAUUUGUAUAAUACAAACUGUUGUGUUGAUGCUGAAUUACACACUUUCAAAAAUAUUCAUAGUUCUUAGAAAAUACAUUUUCUGUGCAAUCCAUACUGUGUGCGUUUAUUAUUGUUUGAACGAAAUAGAUAUGGCUACCUUUCUGAUAAUGCAUUCAUUGCAGUCUUGGAAAUUUAAACGAUCAGUUGCUGAACAGAUUUGUUAUACCAGCACAAAAACUGUUUUCAUAAUAGAAAUCAAACAGUACAUUCUUCACCAGAGAGAAAUUAAUACUUCCGGAGAAAAGAACGCAGUUCAACAUUUUCAUCAUCUGAUCUGAGAAAAAGAAGCGCGACAUAGCUUUCACCGGACAGAACGACUUCAUCGGAAAUGACGUAUCAGUGACACGACCUUGGUACGAAUUCAGAAUAUCAAGAACUUAUGUACUUUGAUAGGAACAAAUCAUAUGCCAGUUGGAUAUUUUGUAGACAGGCAGACUUAUGCACCUGAUAAGGCAUUUGUUUAGUUUUGAUCAGGCAUGUUUCAAUGUUAUAAUCAUGUUAUUUAAGAUUUGUUUUUAAUCAAACAGGCUUAUGACAAAAAUCAAUAUAAACAAUCAAACGAUAUCUUAACGCGAACACGACUGUUCAAUACAACAAACACAGGUGAUUUGCUUUUUCUAUGGAGGUCCAUACAACUGGUUUACGUUUGUCGUAGUGGGACACAAGCCAGUUGUCUUUGUAUGUUCACCAAUUUACUGCUUAUAUUAUGAGGUUAGUUAACAGCGUUGAGUACAAUAUACUGAAUUCUAUGGGACGGGUACACAUUAGCAAUAUGGUUAAUACUGCUGUAUACAAAUCCAACUGAAUUCAGUGUUAAAUUACCGCUUUAUUUCACACCAUAAAAAGGAAGAUUUAGAAAACAAAAUUCCAUACAUUUUAACUUGCAAACAACAACACACAUUAAUUUAAAUUACGUUCUUCUCUGAUAACACAUAGAUCCAUAAUUUUUGAUGUGCAUGUACUCUCAGUGCAAAAGAAAAUUCCGAAAACAACGUUUUCGUGAAAUGUUGCAACAAAACCAUGAUAAUUAGAUAGGUAACGUUUUAACUUAGAAAUUGAGUGUUUACGCUUACAUGUUUCGUUGAAAAAUAAGAAAGUUAUCGCAUUUACUGCUGUCGCUAUAUACAAGGGAAGUAAUUCAAAACGUCUCCUUAUAAGGAAUCGGAAGAGUUGUCCCGUCCAAAAUGAAAAGUAUAUCGAUUAUUGGAACUGGAGUCCAAUAUGAAAAAAAUAUGGAGUUUGUGGCUUGUAGAUUUCGGGUGUUACUAUAUAUACAUAAGAAAAU
rnacentral:lncRNA from 1 species